rnacentral:tRNA from 5 species
GGGCCUGUAGCUUAGUGGUAGAGCACCCGGUUUGCAUCCGGGAUAUAGGAGUUCGAUUCUCCUCAGGUCCA